rnacentral:rRNA from 1 species
GCUGGGGGUGAAAGGCCAAUCAAACCGGGAGAUAGCUGGUUCUCCCCGAAAGCUAUUUAGGUAGCGCCUCGUGAAUUCAUCUUCGGGGGUAGAGCACUGUUUCGGCUAGGGGGCCAUCCCGGCUUACCAACCCGAUGCAAACUACGAAUACCGAAGAAUGUUAUCACGGGAGACACACGGCGGGUGCUAACGUCCGUCGUGAAGAGGGAAACAACCCAGACCGCCAGCUAAGGUCCCAAAGUCAUGGUUAAGUGGGAAACGAUGUGGGAAGGCACAGACAGCCAGGAUGUUGGCUUAGAAGCAGCCAUCAUUUAAAGAAAGCGUAAUAGCUCACUGGUCGAGUCGGCCUGCGCGGAAGAUGUAACGGGGCUAAACCAUGCACCGAAGCUGCGGCAGCGACACUAUGUGUUGUUGGGUAGGGGAGCGUUCUGUAAGCCGUUGAAGGUGUGCUGUGAGGCAUGCUGGAGGUAUCAGAAGUGCGAAUGCUGACAUAAGUAACGAUAAAGCGGGUGAAAAGCCCGCUCGCCGGAAGAC